CCUACGGGCGGCAGCAGUGAGGAAUAUUGGUCAAUGGGCGCGAGCCUGAACCAGCCAAGUAGCGUGAAGGAUGACGGCCCUACGGGUUGUAAACUUCUUUUAUAAAAGAAUAAAGUGAGGCACGUGUGCCUUUUUGUGUGUACUUUAUGAAUAAGGAUCGGCUAACUCCGUGCCAGCAGCCGCGGUAAUACGGAGGAUCCGAGCGUUAUCCGGAUUUAUUGGGUUUAAAGGGAGCGUAGGUGGGUCGUUAAGACAGGCGUGAAAAUUUGGGGCUCAACCGCAAACUUGCAAUUGAAACGGGCAGACUUGAGUUGGGGUGAGGUACGCGGAAUGCGCGGUGUAGCGGUGAAAUGCAUAGAUAUCACGAAGAACUCCGAUUGCGAAGGCAGCGUACCAACGCCAGACUGACACUGAUGCACGAAAGCGUGGGUAUCAAACAGGAUUAGAUACCCUAGUAGUC
rnacentral:rRNA from 1 species